rnacentral:rRNA from 1 species
GACGAACGCUGGCGGCGUGCCUAAUACAUGCAAGUCGAACGCAUUUUCUUUCACCGUAUUUUGCUACACCGACAGAAAAUGAGUGGCGAACGGGUGAUUAACACGUCGGUAACCUGCCCAUCAUCGGGGGAUAACACUUGGAAACAGGUUCUAAUCCCGCAUAAUUCCAUUUACCGCAUGGUAUAUGGAUGAAAGGCGCUUUUGCGUCCCUUUUGGAUGGACCCGCGGUGCUUUAGCCUGUUGGUGGGGUAACGGCCUACCAAGGCUGCGAUGCAUAGCCGGCCUGGGAGGGUGAUCGGCCACACUGGGACUGAGACACGGCCCAGACUGCUACGGGAGGCAGCAGUAGGGAAUCUUCGGCAAUGGACGCAAGUCUGACCGAGCAACGCCGCGUGAGUGAAGAAGGUUGUCGGAUCGUAAAACUCUGUUGUUAGAGAAGAACAAGGAUGAGAGUGGAAAGUUCAUCCCUUGACGGUAUCUAACCAGAAAGCCAUGGCUAACUACGUG